rnacentral:tRNA from 1 species
GGCGGCGUACCGCAGGGCGGGGAAGCGGGUCGGCGUCCUGGCCGUCGACCCUUCCUCGCCGUUCUCCGGCGGCGCGCUGCUC